AGGACGAACGCUGGCGGCGUGCCUAACACAUGCAAGUCGAACGGAGAAUUUCAAUAAGUUUACUUAGCGAAAUUUUUAGUGGCGGACGGGUGAGUAACGCGUGGGUAACCUACCCCUAAACCCGGGACAACCCUUGGAAACGAGGGCUAAUACCGGAUAAUCUUAAACUAUGGCAUCAUAGUUUAAGGAAAGGUGGCCUCUGAUAUGCUACCGAUUAUGGAUGGACCCGCGUCUGAUUAGCUAGUUGGUGGGGUAAAGGCCUACCAAGGCGACGAUCA
rnacentral:rRNA from 1 species